CUACGGGACGCUCCAGUGGGGAAUAUUGCACAAUGGGGGAAACCCUGAUGCAGCGACGCCGCGUGAAGGAAGAAGUAUUUCGGUAUGUAAACUUCUAUCAGCAGGGAAGAAAAUGACUGUACCUGACUAAGAAGUCCCGGCUAACUACGUGCCAGCAGCCGCGGUAAUACGUAGGGGGCAAGCGUUAUCCGGAAUUACUGGGUGUAAAGGGAGCGUAGGCGGCAUGGUAAGUCUGAUGUGAAAGGCAGGAGCUCAACUUCUGGACUGCAUUGGAAACUAUCAAGCUAGAGUGCCGGAGAGGUAAGUGGAAUUCCUAGUGUAGCGGUGAAAUGCGUAGAUAUUAGGAGGAACACCAGUGGCGAAGGCGGCUUACUGGACGGUAACUGACGCUGAGGCUCGAAAGCGUGGGGAGCAAACAGGAUUAGAUACCCGCGUAGUC
rnacentral:rRNA from 1 species